UGCCCCGUGAUGUAACCGGCAAACAGUCAAGCCCCUGGAGCUUGAAAUCGCGGUUCGAAUCCGCGCGGGGCAA
rnacentral:tRNA from 1 species